GGCUCAGUGGUUAGCUCCCCUGGGUUCAAUCCCCAGGACCAAGAAAAAAAAAACUGGGAGGAGCUUGCCACCUCCUAUUGUUCACUUGGUACCCUCCUGCCCCAGUGGACAGGAACUGGGCUGAGUUUCCUUGGAGGGCUCCUGAUCCCCAAGUGUUUCCCCCUGGUGUCCAGAGACCUGUCCGUGUGGUGUUCGGUUGGCAGCAGGAAGAAGCCCUGGUGGAAGCUCUUUGGUAGGUGGCCAAUGUUAUCUUCCUGGGAAUGAAGACGAGAGUGCUGGAAGCUGGCAGCCUUUGUGAGCAACUGAGGCAGGAUCUGUGGGCCACGUACUGAGGUCCUUUGUCACAUCAUGACUGGCCGCACUGAGGCCCCCUGUGCCUGGCCGCCUCUUACUACUGUGUCUGCCUGCCUGGCUGCCCAUGUGCUGGUGUCAUCAGCAAGUCCCUAGAGACCUGGUGUCUUAUCAUUGUUUUGUCCCUUAGUCUGUGGCUGGUGCUGACCUGCGCCUCAGCUCUGGAGAACAGACGCGCAGCUGCCCAGAGGAGGGGCCCAGCACCCACCCCCGGGUUGUUCUCUCCACAUCCCAAGACGCCAUGAAAAAUAGCUCAGGAACUUGAAUUUGGGUCAUUGUGACCGUUUCAGUGUUUGUCCUGAGAACUCACUUGUCCAAGGUCCCUUUUUUGAUUUAAA
rnacentral:lncRNA from 1 species